rnacentral:rRNA from 1 species
GCCUGUCUCAGUUCGGAUUGGAGUCUGCAACCCGACUCCAUGAAGCUGGAUUCGCUAGUAAUCGCGCAUCAGCCACGGCGCGGUGAAUACGUUCCCGGGCCUUGUACACACCGCCCGUCACACCAUGGGAGCCGGUAAUACCCGAAGUCAGUAGUCCAACCACGUGAGGACGCUGCCGAAGGUAGGAUUGGCGACUGGGGUAAAGUCGUAACAAGGUAUC